rnacentral:rRNA from 1 species
AUUUUGGACAAUGGGCGAAACCCUGAUCCAGCCAUCCCGCGUGUACGAUGAAGGCCUUCGGGUUGUAAAGUACUUUUGGCAGAGAAGCAAAGGUACCUCCCAAUACGAGGUACUGCUGACGGUAUCUGCAGACUAAGCACCAGCUAACUACGUGCCAGCAGCCGCGGUAAUACGUAGGGUGCAAGCGUUAAUCGGAAUUACUGGGCGUAAAGCGUGUGUAGGCGGUUCGGAAAGAAAGAGGUGAAAUCCAAAGGCUCAGCCUUGGAACUGCCUUUUUAACUGCCAAGCUAGACUAGAUCAGAGGGGGGUAGAAUUCCACGUGUAGCAGUGAAAUGCGUAGAUAUGUGGAGGAAUACCGAUGGCGAAGGCAGCCCCCUGGGAUAAUACUGACGCUCAGACAAGAAAGCGUGGGGAGCAAACAG